AUCUGUCUUAUGUUUCUUCAUAAAUUAAUUUUAUGUUUUAUUGAUUCAAUUUUCUGGUUAUUAACUAUUUCUGAAUUACAGCUUCUCGUGGGAGAAAACCAGUUUCUAAAUUUUUUAAAGGUUUCAGUAAGGAAGCCUUGCAAGUUGGGGAAUUGGAGGUUCCAUAUGUUUUUAGAAGGAAAUUUGGUCUGAAUAUUGGUAACGUGGUCAAGCUUUGCUUUGCUGAGAAUCAUACAGUAGAAGUCGGCUACUGUUCUGCGACUGGUAGAAUGAAUGGUUUGCUCCCGGUAAUUAAAAAGUAUCGCCUCCAGGAAAACUAUAUUUUAGUUUUCAGCUUUGAUGGGAACUCGUCGUUCUUUGUUAAUGUGUAUGAUUCAUAUUGCUUGAAUCACUUUCGUGAUGUACACGGAUAUCUCAUAAUCUCUGAAUUUGAAACUGUUGAGGCUGGUAUGAAUCAAGGUAGACAUAUAUUAGGCUUUCAUGAAAUGAAUAAAUAUUUUUUCAUGUCAAUAACUUGUUUCCAUUUUCAUCUGCCUACAUGUAGCUGCUAAUGAUGUAAUUGUAAUCUCUGGUUCGAGUGCUGAUUCUUUUGAGAGUUCUGAUUCGGAUGACAGCUCUGAUUCGGAUGAGAGCUCUGAUUCUACAGUUGACAAUGCCGCUGAUGUUGAAGAGAACUAGGGCUGAGCAAACGGUCGGUUCGGUUAAAAACCGAACCCAACCGAAAUAACCGAAAACCGAAGUUUCAUAUUUUUAAGAACCGAACCGAACCGAACUCAUCUUCAAAACCGAACCGAAACCGAACCGAAGUACUUCGGUUUUUUCGGUUCGGUUACAUAAAAACCUAACUUUUUUGAGAGAAAUCUUGCGGUUGUCUUGUAAAUUCAAAAAAGCUUGCCACGAGGAUGGAUUGUUGGUCUAGAGUUGAUAUAACAAGAAUACAAGAUAUCUGAACUAACCCACUGACUACUAUUGAUUAUCGAAAGGUCUGAAAUCAAAUUAAUUACUACCUGAACUGGAAGUGGAAGUCGGACACUGGAUUACUACUGGAACUCGAAAAUGGAACUGGAUUAAACAUCGAAGUAGCCAAGCAGGAGAUUGGAAGUGGAGGCAGAGGCUCUGUUUAGAAGUGAUUAGUAUAUUCCCACAACUUUUUGGAUUGCCACCCGACAAUGGAAUAAAAGAACAUCUGUUGGCUUAAUAGUCGGUGAUGAAGCGUGGUCGGUGGAAGUUUUGAGGUACGGGAAUCAGGCAAGAUUUUCGAGUGGCUGGAACGCUUUUGUUUCUGGGAAUGAGCUGACAGCUGGUAGCAGACUCUUUUUUGAAUAUGUGGGAGAAUUGGAGUUUGAAGUAAGGGUUGUGAAUUAGAUUAUAACACCACUUUUAGUCUACGACGCCCUAUAACUAUCAUCCCUGUUCAGAAUUACUUUUGAUCUGCUGGAAAUCCUAAUUUAGUAACAUGACAAACUUGUUAUUAUGCUAUUAAUUUGAAGCGUGUGCUGGUACUCGUUGAAGUUAUUUCUGCUGAUCAACUUGUGAACUUUAUUUCAAUGUAAUGAAACUAAUAUGCUUUUCCA